rnacentral:rRNA from 1 species
UGGGGAAUAUUGCGCAAUGGGCGAAAGCCUGACGCAGCGACGCCGCGUGGGUGAUGAAGGCCUUCGGGUCGUAAAGCCCUGUCGCAGGGGAAGAAUAAGCGUACGGAUAAUACCCGUGCGCCCUGACGGGACCCUGCAAGAAAGCACCGGCUAACUCUGCGCCAGCCGCCGCGGUAAUACAGAGGGGGCAAGCGUUGUUCGGAAUUACUGGGCGUAAAGGGCGCGUAGGCGGCCUCCUAAGUCGAACGUGAAAUCCCCGGGCUCAACCCGGGAACUGCGUCCGAGACUGGAAGGCUCGAAUCCGGGAGAGGGAUGUGGAAUUCCAGGUGUAGCGGUGAAAUGCGUAGAUAUCUGGAGGAACAUCGGUGGCGAAGGCGGCAUCCUGGACCGGUAUCGACGCUGAGGCGCGAAAGCCAGGGGAGCAAA